AAAUCUGCAACUUUUGUGGCAUAUCAGGAAUCCUACCAUGCAAUUUAUUUUCUCCCAGCUGGAGUUCCAACAGAAAUUUCAAGUUCCCGAUGGCAUCAGGUAUUAAACCAGUGAGACCAUUGUUUUGCAAGUUUAGGCUAAUAAGCUUUCCACAGUUGGAAAUUGAAGGUGGUAUGAUUCCAUUUAGUGAAUUCCAGCUGAUAUUGAGCACGGAUAACAUAUUCAGCCUUCCAAUCUGAUUUGGAAUUUCACCACUAAGCUUGUUGAGUUGAAGUUUCAGAACCUCAAGUUGGGUAAGAUUUAGCAAUUCAUCAGGCAAAGUCCCAUUCAGCUUAUUCUGAGCCAAGUUCAACAAUGCCAGCUUUCGAUUAGAACCAAUUUGAGGAGGUAUGGUUCCAGUAAAGCUAUUGUUAUCCAACUCUAAAUACGUCAAGCUGGGCAAAGAUACAAAGCUCGUAGAAGGAAUUGGGCCGCUGAGAUAAUUGCUACCCAACCUUAACCUGACCAGACUGGAAGAAAUGGUUACAGGAAUUGGUCCAGUCAACAUAUUAUAAGAUAAAUCCACAGUCUGCAAGUUUGAUCCCAACAGCAACUGCGGUAGAAUUCUCCCAGUUAUUUUAUUAUAACUAAGAUCUAAAAUCUUGAGAGACAUUGAGGGAUUAGUACUAGGAAGAUCAACAAAGUUGUUUUGAUUGGCAGAGAAGCGCUGCAAUGUUGUAAUACCUAAAAGGCCUGCAGGGAUUGCCCCAUGCAACUGGUUGGAAGAUAGAAUAAGGGUUUCCAACUUGGUAAGGUUCACAAAAGAUUCAGGAAUAAUUCCAUUAAGAUGAUUCCCACUGAGAUCAAUCUUUAUCAAAUUCCCAUGCUCCCCAAUUUCACUAGCUAUUUCACCCGUGAACCUAUUCAUAGAAAGCUCAAGUUGUUCCAGGACCCUGGAUUUUCCAAGGCGGCUUGGAACUGAACCAGUGAAAUGAUUGAAACUAAGGUUCAAGCUUUUCAGUGCACUCAAACCAUUCAACUGUGAAUCGAUACUUCCAUUCAAAGAAUUGAAAGAUAAAUCCAAGGAUUCCAAUCCAACAAACUUUUGAAAGGUAGGCAAAGAACCAACCAACAUGUUCUUGCUAAAGUUCAAGCUCUUUAACCCAUCAAUCUCUCCACAACUGUUGAAAAACUCAACUGGGAUUGAGUUGAACAAGUUGCUGGAAAAGUCGAGCGACUGCAAAGAAUUAAUCUGGCAAAGCAAGGGUAAGAAGCUAGAGUUUGAGAGACCAAACCCCGACAAUGAAAGAGAAAGUAUGGAGUCGUUGUGGGGAGCGUUGCAUGUAACACCUUCCCAAAGGCAGGGGUUCUGCUCCUUCUCAACAUUCCAGGAUGAAUUUGCAAGCUGGUGAGAAACGGUGAUCAUCGUGUUGCUCUGCUUUGAAGCAAGCUGACCGGAGACCAAAGGAAAUAUACAGAAGAGGAAAAAGAAGGAUAUGCCGUAAAUGGAGCUCUUCAUUUUAGCUCAAUGGGAGAUUAUAUUUCAGCUUUGUUUUUGGUAUAAGUUCAGAAAAGGGUCUGGUUUGAGUUAGGGAGGGGAGGAGAAAAGAGAAAGAGAAAAAGAAAAAGAUGGGAUUUGAGAAAUUCCAAGAGGAAAUUCAUGGGAAAGAAAGAUGAGGGGUGAGCGUGUUGGGAGUGGAGUUGACCGACUGACUAAAAACGCCACAGAUAGACUGAUACAGAGACUGAUGACAGCAAUGGCCUUUUUCUUGGAAGAGAUUGGGUUUCAGAUUGUUCAUGACUUUCAUUCUUACAGGUUCAUACUCGCGUACUUUCCAUCACCUUAUUAUUAUCAUUAUUAGCAACGUAAUGAGAAAACAAUCCAUAAAAAGGAAAAGAAUUAAAACAAAGACCCAACAGAAUUCAAAGUCUUCGUUUGAGUGGAAGGAAAACUGGAGAGCCCACUUUUGAAUGCUACUGUCUGCAUUUAGAAAACGCGUUUCAACGACUUUUUUAUUACCUUAUGGACCACGUCCUUGGAACGUAAGAACUGGGAUUAACAUUUUUUUAAUUCCACCUCACUUAACUAUUUAAUUUUAUCUUUUUAAUUUGUGAUAAUUAUUACAAUUGAUAUAAUAAUAACAUUAACUCUCAACAUUUAUACAUUAUAUCAAUUUAAUCUUGAUUCUAAAAAAUUCAAUCUUUAAUAUUUACACAUUAUGUAAUUUGAUUUUUUUUUGUGUGUGAUUUGCUUCUCUUUAUAACUCUUUCACCUAAAGAGGUAAAAGAAAAAAAAAUUAUCAACCAUAUUUGAUUAAAAUAUACAAAAUAUGGAAACAACAAAAAUUUUAAGAUAAUAAUUUUCACUUUUUUUCAGACUUUUAAAGUUAACCCUCAAUAUAGUCAGGGGCGAAGCCAGAACAAAUUGUUUGGGGGCUGGAUAAAAUUUUAAUUUUUUAUAGUUUAUAUCUUUAUAAUUUGUAAAUGAUUAAAUCGAAUUUUUAUAAUUUUAGGGGGGCCAAAGUACAAUUUUACAUUUACUAAUUUAAAAUUUUUAAAAAAUUUUAAGGGCUAAAAGAGCAAAUUUACAUUUUAGGGGGGCCGAGGCCCAUGCCAACCCCCUGGCUUCGACCCUGAAUAUAGCCUGCCUUCUGGCACGUCUCUAUCUGCCGUUUUUGUCAUGUUUGGGUUUUCUUUUGGUUCUUUUGGUUUUCUUUGGUUUUUUUUUUUUGUUUUUCUCUAGUUUUAUUCCCCGUCUUUUUGUUUUCUCGCCUUGGUUUUGGUUUUCUGCUGUUCCUGAAGGGUUUUAUUUUGUGAGCUAUAACUUAUGGAAAGAGGGCCAGCGAAUCUAAGUUUGGAGAACAGUGAAAUGGAUGUUUUUUCUAUUCAGAUUGGGAACGAAGCAUAGGAUCCAGCAUUUAGUUUCUGUUUGGUGGGAUGUUUUCUAACUGCUAGUGUGAUCCAAUUUCUAGCCAGGAGAAAUACAUUGGCAAAUAUCUGGCACCCCUUGGAGGGUGUUCAAAUUUCAGAUUUGGGUGAAAAGCGAUUUAUGUUCAAGUUUUUUAACGAAGUGGAUAUUCAUCGUGUUAUAACAAGGGUUCUUGGACUUUCAACAAUCAUCUGUUGAUUUUCCAUAGGGUUCAAGAGAAUGAAGGUCUAAUGUCUAUUCCUUGGGUGUUUUCCGACUAGUGGGUGCAGAUUCAUGAUUUGCCUCCGGGGUUUAUCAAAGAGUCAAUGGCGAUACAAUUUGAAAAUUUCAUUGGUAAAUUUAUGGAAUAUGAUAUGAAGAAUUUAUCUAAUGCCUAUAAAAAUUUUCUGCGAAUUCGCGUUCAAAUUGAUGUUAAGCAGCCUCUAAAGAAAAGAAAAAAAAUCAAGUUGUCUGAAUCGAAGUUUAUUUAUGCAAAAUUCAAAUAUGAAAAAUUAACUUUAUUUGCUUCUUAUGUGGCUGCCUUGGUCAUGGUGAUAGUUUCUGUCCUAUAAAGUUACAAUAUGGGAUGCAGGAAAUGGAAAUUGAGUGGGAUUUGACUCUGAGGGCGCAGCCGAGGAAGACUACCACCGCUAAUAGCAUCUAGCUAAAGGAGGAUGGAGAAAAUUCGUUUUUUGGAAAGAGCGGUACUAAUGUGCAGCUUGGAAAAAAUUCUAGGCAUAAUCUUGGGAGAGGAUCAUGGGUAGAUUUUAAUUCUAUUCUUGGAAUUAAUUUGGAAGGUUUCAAAUCUUCAAAUGAUUCAAAUUAGAGGCAGGAAUCACGCCACUUUUUUAGGAAAGAUUUGGCUCAUUGUCAAAGCCAACAGAUGGAAUUUCGUUUGAAUGGAAUAGAAUCAAUGAAGGCCUGGGCUGAUGUGGAUUGUGUUACGGAUUAGAAUUGACGAGAAUGGAUUGUCAGUUGGAGGAGGACCCAAUUUCCAAAGAAAAGGGAAAGAAAAGACAACGGUCUGAUUUUUUAAUUUCCAAGGUUUCCAAUGUUCAGGAUUCGUUGGAUAUUAAUGGGGGUUAUUCGGCUCACCAAAAACAAGUAUCGGCGGCUACCAGUGGGUAUGCCAACAGGAAGUCAUGAAGAUUUUAUGCAAGAAUGUUCGCGGAUUGGGGAGUUCGCAAGCAAUACGUCGUCUUCAGCAUAUGCUAAAAAUUUAUCAUCCCCAUAUUGUCUUCUCUAUGGAAACAAAGUUGAAUGCUACUCGAAUGGAAAAAGUUAAGAGACAUUGUGGUUUUUUAAUGGUUUGGAUGUUUCUGCGGAGGGGACUUGAAGGGGCUUAAGCCUUAGGUGGAAUGGCGGUUAAUUGGUAACAUUGAAGAAUUUCUUAAAAAAUCAUAUUGAUGUGGAAAUUCUAGAAGAGAAAGGUACACCAAGGUGGCAUUUCACGGGUUUCUAUGAAGCUCCAGAUGUAAAGGAUAAAGCUGUUACAUGGGAUUUGCUUCGACGUUUGGGGAGGAAUAAUUCGUUACCAUGGUUGGUUGGAGGAGAUUUCAAUGAUAUUCUUUUCGCUAAUGAGAAGGGGGAAUUUAAGGGAUGAGACUAGAAUGGAGGUUUUUCGCAGAACUUUGGAAGAUUUUCAGUUAGUGGACAUUUGUUUCUUUGGACCAUGUUUCAUUUGGGAGAGGGGACGCGUAUUGGAAAACAAUAUAAGAGAAAGAAUUGAUAGGGGUGUUGCUACGGAUGCAUGGGUUCAACUUUUUCCAUCGUAUUCUCUGAGACACAUUCCUCACUCAUUUUUGGAUCACUGUCCUUUUGCUUAUCGAGACGGAGGUAGGAGAAAUGAACAAUAGAACUAGUAGAUUUCAUUUUGAAGCGUGGUGGGUUUUGGAAGAGUCUUGUGAGGAUGAAAUUAGAACGCUGUGGGAAGUCAGCUCGGGUUCUUAUUCAAAUCAUAUUUUAAUGCUAGCUAAAGUUUUGCAAAAUUGGGCUUACAAGAUUAAGGCUAUAAGAGGUCAUGAAGUCAAAAGAUUAGGAUAUUGGAGGCUCUGAAUUGUGUUGAGCGUUCAGAGGAAUCUUUGGUCGAGCUUAUUGAUAUCAAAUUACACCUAAAUAUGGAGAUGGAAAAGGAAGAACAUUUUUUGGAGCAACGAGCAAGAGCGAAUUGGUUAAUAUUAGGAGAUAAGAACAUUUAUUUUUUUCACAAGUUUUCUUCUCAGAGAAGGUGUACAAAUUGUAUUCGUGGUUUGCAAAGAAAUGAUGGUUCUCUUGCUACAGAUUGUAGUAAAACUGGGAAUAUUGCUUGCAAUUAUUUUGUAGAUCUUUUCGAGUCUCGCUACAUAGGAAACUUGGAUCAUAUCUUGUCGGGGUUACCGCGUUGCACCUCUGACAGUAUGAAUCAAAGUUUUGUGGUUACUUAUACAGAAGAAGAAAUUAUUAUGGCUUUGAAAGGAAUUGGGCCCACAAAAGCUUCAAGACCUGAUGGUUUUCCGGCAAUCUUUUACCAAAAGUAUUGGCACAUUAUUGGUAAAGAUACCAGCAUGUUCUGUUUGGAUAUUUUGAAUAAUGGUAAAGCUUUGGAUGAGAUAAAUAGAACACAGCUGGUUCUAAUCCCCAAAAUCUCGAAUCCCCUCAAUUUGAAGAGUUUUUGACCGAUUAGCCUUUAUACAGUAAUUUAUAAAAUUAUUGCCAAAACAGUUACUAACCGUUUACAAAAAGUGUUGGAUGAUUGUAUUGACGACUCUUAAAGUGCCUUUGUACAGGGUAGACUCAUUACUGACAAUGUUUUGCUGGCAUAUCAAGUACUUCAUUCUUUUAAGAACAAAAGAACAAAAAAAUCCAAUCCAGGAACAAAAAAUUUUGUCAAAGGGAUUAUGUCAAGGGGGUCCUUUAAGUCCUUAUUUAUUUUUAUUCUGUGGAGAGGGGCUAUCUACGCUAAUGAGAAUUGCAAGCCAGGAACAAAAAAUUUUGGGUGCAAAGGUUUGUAGAUCGACUCCACCAAUCACCAAUCUUAGGUUUGCGGACGAUUGUAUACUGUUUGAAGAGGUUUCAAAUAGGUGAAUUCAGGUGAUUUGAGACAUAUUAAAAGAAUAUGAGCUUUGUUAGGGUCAGUGUGUAAAUUUUAAAAAGUCCACGAGCUUUUUCAGUUCAAAUGUGAAUGAUCAAGAUAAAAACUUGGUUGUUCAGUUUCUUAAUGUUCAUUAUUCGAGUGAGCCAGAGAAGUAUCUGAGUUUACCGAAUAUGGUGGGACGAAAAAAGAAAUUGGCUUUUCAAACCUUGAAGGACAGUUUGAAACAGAAGAUCAACAGUUGGAGUAUACAAUAUAUUUCUCAGGGUGGAAAAGAGAUAUUUAUAAGAGCAGUUUUACAAGCAAUCCCUACUUAUACAAUGUCUUGUUUUCCUUUACCAAAAAUGUUAUGUGUGGCAAAAAAUUCAUAGAAAAAGAGGACUGCACUGGUGUGAUUGGAAAUCGUUAUGCGUUCCAAAGAAGGAAGGUGGGAUGGGGUUCCGUAACAUGAAUCCUUUUAAUAUCGCGUUAUUGGCAAAACAGAGUUGACGCUAAUUCUUUACUAGCGCGUACUUUGAAGGCCAAAUAUUUUAAAAAUUCAGAUUUUUUAAAUUCCAGUUUAGGAAACUUACCUUCUCUUACCUGACAGAGUCUGUGAUCUGCAAAAGAACUCAUUAUGAAGGGAUUGGGGUGGAGGAUUGGUGAUGGGAAGAAUGUCUCUAUCUGGGGAGAUGCAUAGGUCCCUGGAAGUAAUGAUUUCAGAGUUUAAAAUUUAAAUGCCAAUUCAAGUUUGUCCACAGUAUCAGAUUUAAUUGAAGAAAACACGAGAGAAUGAAAAGCAGAGCUGAUAAACAAUACCUUCCUGGCAAAGGAUGCAGAGCGAAUUCUAUGUAUUCCUUUAUCCAUAAACCAGCAAAAAGAUCAUAUAAUCUAGCGAGGCGAGCUGACGGGGGAGUACACAGUUCGGAGCAGGCACAAACUACUUUUACAUGACGAGCAGAAUCAAACACAAUCAAAUUACAGGCAAUUUUACAAAAUAUUAUGGAGCCUUGAUCUACCUCCAAAAAUUAAAAUUACAAACUAGAUGUUUUUUUGUAAUUUUAUGCCUACUUUUUGUAAUCUAAACUAUAAAAGACUGAUGGCAUCCGCAAAUUACCGAAAGUGCCAAAAUGAGGUGGAAACGAGAGAGCAUGUAUUCAAAAAGUGUCCUGUUGCAAAGGAGACGUGGGAAAAGUUAGGUUUUAACUGGCCAACUCCUAAAGAAAAUGCUAGUUUUGAAGAUUGGCUUAAAUGCAUUUUUGAGUCAAACUUUUUGAAUAAAUGUAGGGUGAUUGCAUGUGCUUUGUAGGUGAUUUGGACUUCAAGAAACAGGUUUAUUCAUGAAGGAGAAGAACAAACUGGUUCUCAAAUGGCAGAUUUUAUAACAAACUACAUCAAAGAACUUGAUGGGUUGAGUAUGUGCUUACCAAUGAAUCGACUUCAUUCAAGUAGAUGGGUUGAGCUGACUGAUCCUUGGGUUAGAAUCAAUUUUGAUGCUGCUUUUAACAAGGAAAAGAAUGAUUCAAGCUCGGGAUUAUUGAUACGGAAUGCUCGGGCAGAGGUGAUUUGUUCAAACUCAGUUUUUCAUGAAAAUAUACCUUCUGCUUUUGUUGCGAAAGCAAUGGCGUGUCUUCAGGUGGUCCAUCUCGAGCUAUUUCUCGGGUUGAGGGAAGUUGAGAUUGAAGGUGAUUCUCGGUCGGUGAUUCAGAAACUGUAAGAAGAAAAGGAAGAUAGAUCAGAAAUUGAAGUUUUCAUUAAAGAUACAAAGCAUCUGAGUUUAGGUUUUGAAUCUUGUAUUUUUCGGUUUAUCCCUAGAGAGGCUAACAAGGUUGCACAUUUCAUAGCAAAAGAUGGGUUACAGAAGAGAGAAUCAACUUACUUGCUGGGCAUGGUUACGUCUGGAGUGGUGGAAGCUAUGGUGGUCGAUCGAAGAUGGAUAGAUUCUGUGGGGGACUGAAUCCCCGAAUUUGCUGAAGGAAAGUUUUGGGGAAGAAGUUUUUGAAUAGUUAAGAGGAGUUGUUGUUUUUUAGAAGUUUUUCUGUGGGAAGUGAUGGCUCCUGCAAAAAUUAAUGGAAACAAUUAUGUCUUACUGCGUUUUCCCAGGUGUAUUUGUUGCUUUUGAGGGAUGGGUUUAUUAAUUGGUUCACAGCUGGCUGCAGAAGUCUGUAGAGCUCCCCGUCCUGCUUAGCUGGAUCUUUUGUUAUUUUCGUUUAUGUUUUUCUUUUGCCUGGGCCUGUUAGGCAUAGUUUUAGGCUAUUUUGUUCUGUUUUGUUUGACCCAAGCCUGCUUGGUCUUUUGGAGUUGGUUCGCUUUUGUUGAAUAAAAGAUCCAGAUGUUUUUACUCAAAAAAAAUCCUCAAUAUCAUCCAAAAAAAAAAGAAAAAAUACAAAAAAAAAUAAAAAUAAGUUACACAAUGUGUAAAUGUUGAAAGUUAUUUUUUUUAGACUCAAGACUAAUUUGACAUAAUGUAUAAAUGUUGUGGGUUAAAGUUGCUAUCAUGCUGAUUUUAAAAGCUACCACUAUUAGCCAAUAAGUGACCAAAAAAGACAAAAUUCAACAUUUGGGUGACCAAAAAAGAAAUUUACUAAUAGUUAGUUGACCAUUUUGCAACUUUUUUCUAAUUGGGUGACCAAAAAAAAUUACUAAUAAUUGAAUGACUACUAAUAUAAUAUACCUUUAUUUUUGGAAAAGAAUUUUGAAAACAUUAAUUUAAAAUUCAGGUGUUUUAAGCAUAACUAUUUUUAAAUUAGUUAAUAUUAAAAUAUAUGAAAUAAAAAUAUAAAAACAAUUUUUUAUUGUAGUAUAUUAUUAAUAUUUUGAUAAAUUAAAUAUAAAUUUUAAAUAUUUUGAAAUAAUUAAUAUAAAUUAUUUGUAAGAUUUAAUUUAAUAUAAAUUUUAAAUAUAAAACGAUUUGAUUCAUUGUUAAAGAAAGUUUUAGAUUCCACAAGGAGAAUUUUAAAUGUGACAAUAUCUCAUUUAGGUAGUGUAAAAAAAUACAAAUUAAAAAGAAAGAAAAAAACAUGUGGUAGUGUUUGAUCUUGUUUUGUGGAGUUAAAACAUUCUACUAGCAAUAUGCCAAGAGAAAAUGAUUUGAUACACUGUCAAUGGAGUUUUUAAAUUUUACAAGUAGGGUAAUACAAUUGACAAAUAUCCUAUAUAAAUAUAGUAAAAUAUUAUAAAAAAAAGGACACAUGACAAUUUUUAUAAUGUUACACCGUCAAUGUACCAAAUACUCACCCUAUACCAAAUAUUAACCCAACCUUAUAUAUCCUAUAUAUGUAAUAUUUAAAACCAAACCUCUAAUAAAAAUGGAAAAUAUCUUAUAUGGACAAUUUAUUUUACGACACAUGUACAAUUAAGAAGACAUGUAUGAUAUUUAAAUUUUAAAAUAUUUCAUACAAUUAAUAUGUUAUGUUCAAAAUAUAUGAAGGGAUAGUAAAAUAAUAAUAAUAAUAAUAAAAAAGAAAACAAGCUCAAGAUUAUGACACAAGAAUUUUAAACUGAUCCACUUCAAUUGUUUACUUUUAUUACCUUUACAAUUAAUGAUUUUUUCUCAAUUUACAGGAUAUUGUUUAAGCUUUAUUGGGAUUUUUAUCCUUUUUAAAAAAUUUAUGAUUUUGUAAGUUUAUAAAAAUUUAAACUCAUUUUAUUCAAAAUGCAGUUCGAUUUCAAGCCUGAAUCUGUUUUGAAGCCCGAAUCCCUUUCAAAAUGCCAAUUUGGAAUUAGGGUUGAAACCUUAAUUCUUUGUGCCACUAGCGUGAACACACAGGGAAAGAUAAAACUUUUUUUCUGACUAAUCACAUUUCAACAGCGAUUAAGAAAAUGAAUAAACAACUUUUGGAAUAAAAAAAUCGACCAAACAAGGAGUUAAACCAAAAUUUGUUAAUUAAAAUACAAAGAUUAGCAGUUAAUACAAUUUAGAAUAACAAGUAUAAAUAGAAAACUAUCUAAUUGCGACUUCACGUGUGUGUCGAGGUAAUGGAAUCAACAUAAAUACAACUAAAAAUGUAGCGGUUAUUUGUAAGUGUGAUAGGUCCUUGUAAUAUUUUUAUGUUACAAUGGAACAUGAAAUAUUCCAAUGGUCGAACCUAAGAGAAAGUGGGUGAUAAGGUUAUAAAUAAAAAUGCAUGCAAACAAGAAUUGUAACUAGCUACUCACUAGUAUUAGGGCACGUUUGUUCGCUGUAAUGGAAUAGAGCUGUAAUGGAAUAGAAUUGUAAUCAGUAAUUACAAUUAAUGGUAUUCUUGUGUUUGGUUGAAUGGAAUGAUAUUGUAAUAGUAUAAGAAAAAAAGCUGAAGUGACCAGAGUACCCUUAAUAGAUUUUUUUAAGUACAUAAUUAUUGUUAUUAAAUUUUACUAAAAUUAUUAUUAAAAUAAUAAAUAAUUUAAUCAUGUUUUAAUAUAAUUAUUACUAAAUAUAAUUUAAUAACAUUCUUAAUAUAAUCUUUUUUAAAAUAUGAAUUAAUAAAAAUCAUAACAUAAUCUCAUGGGAUCAUUGUUGCCAAAAUUACAAAUAUUGAUCCAAAAGAAAUAAUUAUUCUCAUUUUUAUAUAUAUGAAAAAUAUCAAACAUUUAUACAUCAAACAAACCCCAUGUUUUAACUUCUCUAUAAGACUACCCUAGCUAACCAAAAAUUUGUAGACCAAAUCAAAAGCCAUGCAAAAUGGAUUCCACCAUAAAGUGCUGGAGACAUGGGAGAUAUAAAUUCCAUUGGCAGCCAACCAAGUCAUCACCAAAGUUAGAUCAACCAAUGUAUAAAUGAACACUAACAAAGCAUAAUAAACGGUAGUAUAAUUGAUGCAGGUACAUAAGGAGUAGGAGCACAUGGGAGAAUUGCUUUUUAAAGUCUCGGCAGUGGAUAAAUAUUUGAAUUAUUGAACAACAAUGGAUUAAUUUACACAAACAUCCAUGGAAAGUAAUGACAAAAAGGGAUAAGUAGGACUUUUUUCCACAUGUUCCCCGGUUCUGUUGUGUUCGAAUAUUCCUGGAGCUGAACAUCAUGUACAACACAAGACAAUUCUUGUAGCAAGUAUGCAAGGCAUAAUAUGUUCCUAAAUAUCUAUUUUUCCGAUGAUUUCCUCAUCAUCUGAGGCACCAUAUUCAUCUUCAUUCAGUUUUUUGUCACUUGACUUCACUUCUUCUACUCCUACAACAUCUUCAGACUUGACAUAUUUCUCACAGUUUUCUGGUACACGAAAAGAGUCAUAACUUAUAAGCAUUCUAGGAAUAAGACAAAAAAGGCAUCCUUAAAAUGCCAUUGCAAAAAGAAGACAUGAAAUGUAUGUUGCAUAUCAAUUAAAACUAGAUUUUGAAAGUACAUCUACCAUAACUUGAUCUAAUGUUUCCCUGGCCACAAUUUCUAUAAUGUACAGAAAAUUAACAUAUAAAACAAUGGCAUGAAUUAACAGUACGUUUAUUUUAGAGCCAAAAAUAGAAGAAAUAAACAACAAAAACUAAAAAUCUAUCUCAACAAGAUUAAAAAAUGAGUAGUAGGUAGCGCAAAUGGGUCGUGCGCACGAGUGGAAAGGAGCAAGCUCCCUCAAAAUAUAAUCCAGUUAAAGCUUUAAAAAAAAACCUAACCUGGUUCUAAUCAAUCUGCAACUUCAUCAAAACGUCAUAAUCAUUAUAAACUUGCAACUUCAUCAAACAAACACAGACAGUUCAAUUCCACAUCCACUUCCCAUAUAUAAAAUUUAAGUUUUCUUCAUUUUCAAGGGGAAAAAAACUAAUUAGUGUCCAAAAGUAAACCUAAAAGUUGAACCAUACAAAACCAUAAUUUAGUUUUAAUCCAUUUCAUAAUCAUAGCUUAAAUCAUUGUUCAUAUCUAAUUAUUAUUCUAAUUCGCUUUGCAGGUACCAUAUUUUAAGAGUUUUUGAUUAACUUUUAUAUAUUAUAACUUUGAUUUUCCCUAAAUUAUGAAAUUGGCUUUCAUAGGAGCCAUUAACGUUCUUCCCCAUUGCUUCCUUUCUGCCACAUUCUAACCAUAUUAAAAAAUAAACUACAAAAACUAGAUGGUAAAGUGCUAGUUUUAUCUUAUCCAGCAAAUGAAUAAUAAUUCGUGUAACCACAAUCAAAUAUCAAAAUGCAUUUCAUGCACUAUCUAAUCCUCUUUUUCACUGGUUCUUUAGAAGUUUCUAAUGAAGAGACAACUUCAGUAUUUUCACAUAAUCAUGCUGUCAAUAAAUGCAAAAUGCUGCCUUUGUUUUUUUUUCCUUCACAAAAUGUUAAUCUUCGUUGCUUUAAUUAUUCGAAUAUGAAAAUAUUUCUGUUAAAUGCAUGAAAAGUUUAUUGUUUUUGGCUUCUAACUGAGAAAAAUAAAGAUGAGAACCCUAAGCUUAAAAAUAACAAUAAAUAGAAAAAAAUUCAGAGAGAGGAAGUGAAAUUACUGUCUACGCUGCCACCGCCACUUCAUGCUCGAAGUCCCAGAUUUCCCCAUUCUGAUAUCUCUUGAUUCCUUUUUAAUGACUCUAACUACCAAAAAGUUCAUAUAGGGGAAAUCAGAAAUGCAAUGAAAAAGCAAAAAAAAAAAGAAAGAAAGAAAAAGGUUGCAACUCUGCAACUAAAGGGUUUUGUUGGCUUAAAGGGUGAAAAAAAAAAGUUACAACUCUACAAUCAAAUGAUCUUGUUGGCUUAAAGGGUGAAGAAAAAUGUAACACCCCUAACCCGUAACCGUCCCCGGAAUAGGUUAAGAGCCAUUACCGGACUUGUAACUAAAUUCAGAACAAUCAUUUAUCAAUUAUCAUCUCAUUUCAGUAACUAUCAUUCAAUCGCAUUCAAUAUGUACUUAAAUCAAGUAUACAAAGCUUUAAUCAUGCAUUCGGGACUAAAUUUUCAACAUCUUUCCCUACAAUGUUGAAAUUGAAUUGUGUUCUAUUAAUGAUUUUUAAUUGUUUUAAUUCUGUAGCUAACGUCAUACCUGAAUCCUCGACUAAAAAGGGAAAAGAUAAAGUCACAGAGGAAUAGCUCAGAAUUUCUGGUUUGUAUUUCUAUAAUCCGAAUUUAAUUAUUAAUAGUUGUAUUUAGAUUUAAUGCAUAUGGUAAGUGUUGAGGUGAGUAUUUGGCAUUUUGAUAUUGAAUUGAAUUUACAUGUAUAUGUGAUUAUAUGAAAAAUUGAUAUUGGAUAUUGAUGGCAUGACAUAGGAUUGGAAGAGUUCAGGGAUUUCUUCGACUUCGAGUCGAUGAGACACUGGGUGUCAAUUUACUACUUCGGAUUAAUUCGAUGAGGCACGAGGUGAUAAUGCACUAGGUGCCAAUUUACUUCAGUUUAGCCGAUGAGAAACUGGGCAUCAAAUUAUUACUUCAAAUUAUCCGAUGAGGCACUGGGUGCCACACUGGUGUGUUUUGGUUGGAUCUGUGUAUCCAUCCGAGUCCGAGUCGUGUUAAUAGGGGCAAUGAAUAAUAAAGUUUUAUGAUUGAUAUUGAAAUGGCAUGGUAUGAGAAAUGGAAGUGAAAAUAGAAUGUGAAAUAUGUUGUAAAUAUAUGGAAUAUAUGAGUUAUAUACUCAUGAAAUGAAUAUGGAAUGGAUAAUAUAAUUGUAUAAUGAAAUGUGAAAUAAAUUGUGAAAAACUAUUUAUAUAGCUAGUAUGAGAAUUGAGAUAUUUGUGAAACAAAUGAAAUGUGAGAUGGUUGUUGUAAAAAUUAAAUAUUAAUAUUUGUUUAUAUUUCAAUUGUAUAUUUGUAAUUUUUUAUCUUUUAAAUAUUCAGAUUAUAGAAAUACCACUAAGUUCAUACUCAGCGUACAGUUUUGUUCUCCUGCGCAGGCUAGGUACUUAAUUUUGAUCGUCGAUUCAGUAUCCAACAACAAUCCCAAUGAUGAUCGUUUUAUGAAUCACUAAGCUAGACUACAAUCACGACUACGGCAAGCGCACCUAUCGAAUGGUAGUAUAGCUAUGGCGAGUUCAGAAUAUCGUAUCCACAAGGACUAAAAGUACUAGUAUUAACUAUUUUUCUAUUAUUUAGCCUAAAAUAAAAAGGAUUUGUUUUAAUCUAAAAUUAAGUAAACUAAUUAACUAAUGAACGCGAUAGAGAGUGAAGGAAAUAAUUGAAUAAACCAAUGAUAAAGACAAUACCCAAGGAAGAGUCCCUUAGACUUCAAUUAUUAUUCUGACUUUCAAUUAAAUGAUUUAUUCACUUGUCUUGAUCCGUAGAAAUCCCUAAAUUAUGUUAAUAUCUCUUUCGAGACUAAGAACAACUGACUCUAGGUUGAUUAAUUGAAAUCUUUUUUCUAAUUAAAACCUGUAUUGUCGCAUUAACUCGAUCUAUGGAUUCCCUUAUUAGAUUUGACCCUAAUCCGGCAGAUUUAUGUCGUCCUAUUUCUAGGAUUGUAAUCAACUCUGCUUAAUUAUGCUAGAUCUACUCUUAAAUAGGGAUUUUUGCUCCACUAAAUAAGCACAUCAAACUUGAAUUAAUAUCCUGAAAAUAUUAAGACAAGAAUUAAUAACAGAUAAUUAAGAACAAGAACAAUUAUUUAUCAUGUAAUUCAGAAAUUUAAAUAAUAAGAUCUGUCAUAAGUUUCAUCUUCCCUAAGUAUCUAGGGAAUUUAGUUCAUAAUUUUGGGAAAAAACAUCUCAAAAAUAGGAAAACAACAAAACAUAAAGAAACCCAAAAACUUCAAGAGAAAUUGAAAGGAGAUCUUCAGUCUUAAAGGAGAUCUUACGAGUUGAAUCCAUGACGUUCUUCGAGUAAUUUCUGCUUUCUAUUAUGUGUGCCCCUUUAGGUCCUCUACUAGUAUGUAUUUAUAGACUUUAGAAUGCUCAGAAACCCUAAAAAUUGGCUUUUUCCACGUGUUUGAGAAACAGGGAGCGAUAUUGACAUAGGCUGCCACAUGGGCGUGUGGCCAGCCCGUGUGGAAUUAGUCUUGGCAGUGUGGAUCCUUAAAUCAGCUCAUUUUGUCCAUUUUUGGCCCAUUUUCUGCUUCUUUUGUUCCUUUAUGCUCUCCUAAGUAUAAAACAUAAAAUUAAAGGAUUAGGAGCAUCAAAUUCACUAAAUUAGAUAAUAAAUCAUCCAAAAAUAUGCUAAGCAUGGGAUUAAAACAUGUUAUAUUUAUGGUUUAUCAAAUAUCUCUACACUUAAGCGUUUGCUUGUCCUCAAGCAAAAUCCCUAACUCACAGUUAAAAUUAAACUUUCUCAAUUCAUAAUUUUCAUCAAUAAUGUUUUAUCAUAAUUCACAGAUAAUCAUACAUUGAUAAUUCAACUAAAAGAGCACUAAAUGCACAAACAAUAAGUCUAACAUUUUUUAAAGCAUGAAAACAUAAGUAUUUUCCCUUAUCUAAGUAAUUAAUUCAAAACUGACAAGAUUUGACAUCCUCACUAAAGGUUCACUCAAAUCACUCAAAAGUGUUUAAGGUUCAAAAAAAUUUUAGCACUCAAGAGUCAAACAUGAAAAAUUAUUACCAUAAACUUGCAUGAAAAUCAAAUCUCCACCACUAUAAUAAAAUGAUACACAAAUCAAAAGGUCUUUCAAAGGUUUGUAAUGAGGCUUGGAUUAAAGGUGUGGUUAAAGGCUGAACAAGAAUGUUAGAGUCGAGAUUGAAUUAAUAAAUUACCUAACUAGAAAAACUAAACUAAUACUGAAUAAUCACAUCAAUCGAAAUAAUUCAAGAAUAAAACAAGCUUCUUCUCAGAAUAUUGAAUUUACUACUUAAGCUCAAACCAAAGAAUUAGAAAUAAUCAACAUAAAUGUAUAAUAAUAUAUAUAUUUUCGACUUUUUUUUUGAAUGAAUAAGAACAAAAUAGAUAGUAAGAGAAAAAUUAAUAAUUGGAAUAAAAGAACAUAGUUAGGCAACUAACCAAAUCAAAUCUCGACAAAAAGUAAGUCAAUAAAACGGGAACAAUUCUUAAUGAAUCAAAAAUGAGUUAUGGAUUAAUAUUAAUGGGUAAAUCAAGAAACGGUUUGUUAGGCUCAAAGGGGUUCACUAAGGGUUAAUUAUGAAGGUAGGCUUUUUAUGGGAUAAGUGGGUUAAAACCUGGCUGCCUUUAUCAUCUUAGUAUAUCAAAUCAAAUGUGUGGUCUCAACAUGUAUAAUCGAAGCAAGUUUUAGAAUAACAAUUCAAUAUUGACAUACUUAUAACCAAUAACAAAGUAAGCAAGAAAAAAAUAUAUGCUCAAAGACUCAAAAUCUCACAAAAAUUAUGACUUUUGAUAUCAAUCUUGCAAAUUUCAAACUUUAAGGUAAUACCUCAAUUUAGGGAAACAACCUAAAAAAAAUUUAAUUCUGAAAAUAGACUUAUCUUUCUUGAUUCUCUAGUGUUUUAAAGUUUAAACCAUCAAUGCACAAAUACCUAUGAAUUUAAUCUAAAAUAUAUCAAUAAGAAUCAUAAAUCGAAGAAAAGUUCAUUCUAAUAAUGAUAUGAGAAAAUUGCUGAAAAACACAAUGCAGAAUUCAGGGAUUUUCAAAUAAUCAUAUUAACAACCUCCCUACACUUAAGAUGUACAUUGUCCUCAAUCUACAAACAAAUAUAAUCAUAAAAUAAACAGAAUAUUAUAAGAUAGGGAGAGAAUUGAAACUGCCCUGACUGUUGGAUGAAAUUCUCAAAAUAGUGAAAAACGGGAUUGUAGAUAAAUGUAGAGGUAGUGCAAAAUUCUGAGCAACUGAUAAAAAGAUAAACACAAUACUGAAGAAGAUUAAAAAGGGUUACUCAAUUAGAAACAACCAUAAAAAUAGAAAGAGAAAAACAACAAGAAAGAUAAAAAUAAAAAUAAAAUAAAAAUAAAGAUAAAUAGACUCAAUGGUCCUCAUCAUCAGAGAAGUCAGCAUCGUGAUCCGUUGGUGCUAAAAAUGAAAUAUAGAGGUGCUGACAUAUCUGCUAUAAAGUGUCAUCGAUGUUGUCGAACCUGUGAAAGCACUACUGCUCUAAUCGAGUAAAUCGCUCCGAGAGGUCCUCAAGGGUAGCAGCAGAAUGAGUAGGGCGGUGACUCGAAGGUGGUGGUGGAUGUGGAUCCUCGUGGUAGGGAGGACAUUAUCAGUGAAGUCCUCUAGGUCAUGUUGAAUGUCAGAUUGAAAUAGUCUGUAGUGAGGGGGUCCACUCCACGUCGCCAUUCGAUCAUCCUCAUGUGGAUCAUGCUCGAGAUGCUCUGAGGGGACAUCUGGCCAACAAGUGUAAGUGUCGAGGAUUGCUCCAGUGUUUCGAGUAAAUCGAAGUGUUGAGUGAGAAGAGUCGUGUACAGGCCGAGAUAGAUGGGACCCUUCUUAUGGCGUUCAGUCUGAUUGUGGAAACACUACAGCAAAACUGGUUUUUAGCGGCGUUUGAAUGAAAAACGCCACUAAGGAACGAGCAUUAGCAGCGCUUCCCAAAAAUGCCGCUAAAGAUUGAGUUUUAGCGGCGUUUUUUCAAAAACGCCGCUAUAUGUAACCUAAAAAGCGCCGCAAAAAAAUUAACACAACGUCGCCGUGAGCCUUUGGUGGCUUUACCGGCGCUUUCUAAAAACGCCGCUAAAGAUCGAGUAUUAGCGGCACUUUUCUAAAAACGCCGCUAUAUGUACACCUUUAGCGGCGUUUUCUAAAAAGCGUCGCUAAAGAAUUUUGUAAUUUAGUGGCUUUAGCGGCGCUUUUUUAAGAAACGCCGCUAUAAGUAUACCUUUAGCGACGCUUUUUAAAAAAUGCCGCUAUAAGUACACCUUUAGCGGCGCUUUUUAAAAAACGCCGCUAAUGCUCGAUUUUUAGCGGCGUUUUUUGAAAAACGCCACAAAAAUAGAAAAAAUUAAAAUAAUAUUAUUUAAUAUAAUUUUAAAGAUUUUUGGUAUAUGACUAAUUGUUUUUUAAUUUAUAUGUUAAUUAUUUUCUUAUAUAAUUGUAAAUGAGAUAGUAUUAAUUUUAAAAUAUUGAAUUAAUUAUCAUUAUAUUUUAGGGUUUACGGUAUAUGGUUAAGGGUUUAAUGUUUAUAAGAUACUAUUGUAAGGUUUAUGUAUUAUGGGGUUAGGGAUUAUGGUUUAUGGUUUAUGGGUUAAAGGUUAGGGUUUAAGUUUUAGGGUAUUAGGGUUUAAGGUUUAGGGGUUAAAGGUUAAAGGUUUAUGUUUUAUUGUAAGGUUUAGGGGUUAGGAGCUAGGAAUUUAGGGUUUAGAUUAAUUAGUGUUUUUUAAUUUAUAUAUUAAAUAAUUUCUUAUAUAAUUGUAAAAAAGAUCAUAUUUAAUUUUAAUAUAUUAAAGUUAUGAUUAUAGUUUAAAUUAUUUAAGAGAUAAUAGAUAAACUUUAUAUAUAUUAAAUGGUUUAGGAUUUAAAGUUUACUUAAGAUUUGUUAAAUGAUGAAAUUUUGAGCAAUAUUAAGCAUUCUGGGCAUCAAUAUAUUUAGAUAUUUUGAGGUUUAAAAUUGAACUCAGGGAAGAAAUAAAUAUAAAAACAACUAACAUAGUGGAUCAGGAAAAUGCUUUGACAUGAGCUGCUUUCUGUUUGACUUGUUUACAUAUCUAAAUAAUAGAUUGUUUGAGGAUAGGCCAUGGAUUUGGUGAUAUUUAUUAUUUAAACUAUGUAGGUUUUAGAUGCAACGCAUGUACAUGCAAAGGCACAUGAUUAAUAACAUGAACAAUGACUUUUGUCGAAACAAAUUCUAAUUCUUGCAUUAUGGUGGCAUUAUCAAAAAUUUAUUUUUCCAUGUCAUAAUUCAAAGAGAUCAGAUAAUGUGCUUUGACAUAUGUGGCUUUGAGGGUCGUAUAAGUGAUUUCCUUAUUAGCCUGACUCUGGCUUACAGGUACAUACUUUGGCUUUCUGUUCCGGUGUUUUGGAUUCUCUGGCGGUUGAAUUGAAAGCGUCAAAGGACUUCUCUAAGUUAUAUGCAGGCAUUGCAAUACUUUGGCUUCAUAUAAGCUUGAACCAGCCUUCUGUUGUAUAUUGUUUCUUCUUCUUUUUUGAUCUUUUUCCUUUGAUUAAUGAGAGGUGAUGAUGAAUUGGCAUUCUUUUCUCAUGAGGAUGAAUUUUGUUUUAGAAAUUAUAAUACUUUGUGUGUUUGUGUGUGUUAUUUUUUAUGUAUUAAAUUACAUAUUAAAUCAAUGUUUAUGUAUUAAAUUUAAAUUCAUUAAUUUUUAUAUUUAGUUUUGAAAUUUAAAUUUUAAUGGAAAAUUUCAUUUAAUUAAUAUUUUUUAUUUAUCCUUAAAGUAUAUAGUUUAGAUUUCAAAUUUCAAAAAUUAAACAUAAUAUAAUAUUUUAACAUAGAAAUAAAUAUUAUUUAAUUAAAAUAAAAUAAUUUUUUAAAAGGUCAUAUUUUUAGCGGCGUUUUUAGGAAAAGCGCCGCUAAAAGUCAUGACCUCUAGCGGCAUUUGUGGGAAAAGCGCCGCUACAGGUCAUGACCUUUAGCGGCGUUUGUGGGAAAAGCGCCGCUACAGGUCUUGAUCUUUAGCGGCGGUGUAUAUAGCAACAUUUUUUGCGGCGCUUGGGAAAGCGCCGCUAAAAGUAUUAGUGGCGCUUAUAAACGCCGCUAAAGGAAAAAAAAACGCCGCUAAAAGUCUAUUUUCCUGUAGUGAAAGAUAGCGCGAUGAAGUACACCAAAUCAAAAACAUGCCCAAUAGCCAUGCUCCAUAAAAAAUAGGCAGCAUAGGGGUACCACAUAUUAGUAAUAAAUAUAAAGACCUACCUACAAGCAGCAACUUUUGAAUUUGAGAAGAGAGUUCAAGAACUUGAAGAUGAAUGAGGAAAAAACUGUCAAACAAUAUUUAGAUAGGAUUAUGACUAUGGUAAAUAGCAUAAGAUUGCUUGGAGAACAGUUCACUGAAGCAAGGAUAGUAAAGAAAGUGAUCUCAACUUUACUAGGGAGGUAUGAGGCAAAAAUAUCAUCCUUGGAAAGGGACCUGACUAGCAUCUCCUUGACAGAGCUAAUAAAUGCUCUCUAUACACAAGAGCAAAAAAGAGCCAGCAGACUGGAGGAGCACCAAGAAGGUGCCUUCCAAGCCAAAACCAAGCCAACCUCGAGCACAAAUGCCUACAAAGGCAAAAAAAAUGGAGAAAGAAGCCUAAAGCAGAUGGUGAAAAAAGAUAUCCACCCUGCCCACACUGCAGAAAGCUAGGUCAUCCGGGUGAAGUAUGUUGGUUCAGACUUGUGCAGUUUCAAAUCUGUAAAAAUAUGGGCCAUGCUGAGAAAGUCUGCAGAACCAAAGGCAAGCAGAGACAAAACCAACCUCAGCAGCCAAGAGUUGAAGCUUAAGUGGCAGAAGAAGAAAGUGAUCAAGAAAAAAGAGUCUUUGCUGUCUCUUGCUCAUCUGCCAAAAGAAAAGCCACAGAAGGAUGGCUGAUAGACAGUGGCUGCACAAACCACAUGACCCCUGAUACUGGCAUUUUUAAGUCAAUUGACAAAAGCUUCAAAACAAGGGUGAAGGUUGGAAGUUGACACUUCAUCAAGCUAAAGGCAAAGGAGAUGUGCUGAUAGACACUCCUACAAGUACCAAACUUGUUACAAAUGUCUUGUUUGUGCCUGAUAUUGAUAAAAACUUGCUUAGCAUUACUCAGCUGCUUGAAAACGGAUAUUCAGUAGUAUUCAAAGGCAAAUAAUGCCUGAUCAGUUAUUCAAAUGGAUCUAAGCUCAUGUCAGUAACCAUGGCUGACAAAAGUUUUUUUGUGGACAUCUCACAAAAGCAAUCUCUUCGAGGGACGCAUCAGGUUGGGCCAUCGAGUUCUGAUUUAGAACCUUUGCAUCACCGACCCAUUACUGAUCGUAGUAGUCCGAAGCUUGGAGAUCGUCGUUCACCAAGAGGUUUUCCACAAUCUAAAUUAAACCGAAAGAAGCUUGGUACUCGUAUUGCGGAUUUAGAAUCUCAACUGGGGUAAGCACAAGAAGAGCUAAAGAAUCUCAAAGACCAGUUGGCUUCAAUAGAAGCUGCAAAGAAAGAAGCACAACAAAAGCUGAAAAAUAAGAUUGAGAAGCCUAAAGCUUGGGAAACUGUUGAAGUUAAUGAGAAGGUUUCUCCGAAAAAAACUCGAGAUUCUAAGAAAUCUGAUUGUAGUAUCAAAGAUGAAGUCUCUGAAGAUCUUGUAACAGAUCAAGCUGAAGCUGAUCAAAAUGGUCCUGAAAUGGACACUGAUGAUGAACCAGUCAGAUCCAUUACACCAUAGGCUGAGAUUUAUGAGAGAGCUCAAGUGGCUGCAGUUGAACCAAUCAACUUUGAAGAAGCUGAAACUCAACAAGGAUUGAAGCAAGCCAUGCUCGAUGAGAUGAGCAUGAUCCACAAGAAUCAGACUUGGGAUCUUGUUCCUAGACCAGUUAACAGGAAGGUCAUUGAAGAAAAGCUAUUAAGGAAAAAUGGGAAUCUGCAGCAUGGAAGCCAAGGAGGAGUGUUGAAGUUGGCCUCCAUGUAGCACAAUCAACCAAGAAGCAGACCAUGCGACAUAAGUUAUGCAGAUGAAGUAUGAAGAAGCAGAUCAAGCCACACUUUCAGCACAUGAAGUAUGCAUGCAGAUGCUGAACCACAUUACUGCUAUCUUAUUUUCUUAUUUCAUUUUGUUUAGUUACCUUAAAUAUUGUUUUGUAAUUUAGUCAGAUUUGAACUAAGUUGUCAUUGUUUUUUUGAUGUAAUUACGUACUAAUGGACUGAUAAAUCAGUUUACCUUUGUGUGCAAGCAAUAUUAUUUAAGUUCCAAUGUUACUUAGUGGUAUUAGGUAAUGUUAGAUGACAAUUUGCUUUGUUUUGACCAGCUAAAUGUCUGGUAUAUGUAAUUGGCUUUAUGCCAACAUCAAUAGUUAAUGAAAAUUCAUUAGAAUUUCAUCCAAAAUACUCUCUCUUUCUUUGCUUUCAUUCUGUUUUUCAAGCUCAAAACCUCCUAACUUGAAUUUCAAGUUCUCUUCAUUCUUUAUCCGGAUUUAUUAAGUUCUUGCUUAAGUUCCAGACUAAGCUUCAUACUUCCUCCGGAUAAAGUGUCCCAAAACCCCAACAAAAACUAAUAUGCAUGUGUGUAAACAUAUAUAAGAACAUAAGCUAAGAAAAUGAAAUGAAACUCGCAAAGUAAAAAAAACUUACCCUUUGAUAAUGAGAACAAUAUCGAUACUCUUUCGAGAACCAGUGUCAGCAUCAGGAAUGUUAAGCCCCACAUACACUUUUCCACCACAAAGCUUUUCUAGUUUACAAAGAUGAUGCACAAAAAGAAAUAGUUAUAGAGAAGAUGGGGACUUAAUUAUGGUUAAUGAAAAUCAAAGGAAACUUAAUGAAAAGAUUGAACAGCCGAAAUAUUCUAUUUUUCAUUUUUGAUCUCCCAAACCGAAAAAGAAAAGUCUUUGAGCGAUUUCAAUUUUUUAGGAAAUCAAGCAAACCUUAACAAUCCAGUAAUCUUUACACAAUCAAACUCAUUUUAGCAAUAGGCUGUACCAAAAUCAAGAAAGUUUCACAUUUAUUUUGGACAAUUUUAUCAUAAAAUCAUAAGAAAUGCUGAAAUUGUAAAAGGAAAAGAAAAGUACAGAUUGGCGACGGAGAAAAUAGCAUUAAAAUAAGAGGUUUCCAUGUCUAAAACAUCGUUGCCACCAUAAAAGAAGCACCGUAACAAUUGGUAAAUGAUGAUUCCGCAUAUGAUCUCCAACCAUAUUCUCAACCUUUUUUUAUAUAUAAUUUAAAAAUUAAGAAAAUUUUGACAAAGAUGAAGAUAAUUAAAUAGAAGUUUUAGGAAAAGAACUGCAAACAGUUGGUGAGGGGCAAUGGUGUUUAGGGCUUUGUAAAUGGAGAAGGUAGUGAACAUAGAGGCUAGAGUUGAAAUUGCAGAAAGGAGAUGAUGAAACAAUGAGGGCAAAAAUGAAAAAGAAUUAUCUUUCGGCAUUCCUACCGUGCUAUGAAUAGCAAUUCAGAGGGUGAGGCAAAGAAUGCUAUUCAGCUUCUAUUCAGUGGUUAGUGAGAAUAGCAAACUAAACGGCAACAUUCGUAAUAGACAUCUCAUUGAACAACCUCCGUAAUAGACAUCUCAUUGAACCAAACAAGGGUUUAUAGUAGGCCCAUGGAAUUGAAUUGUAAUGGCUAAGCCAUUACAUUGAACCAAAAAGGGUGUUAGUGUUACCACACUCUCGACAGUCAACUUCCGUGGCUUUGGUGAAGUCAAUAUUAGAUCUAUGGACCCCCGUUUGCUGUCAACAUGUUGGCUUGAAUCACCCGAGGAGGAGAAAGAACUUCCAGUGACUGUAAUUGCUCCUCAUUAACCUUGCUUAAGCGUCUUGAGAUCAAUAGAAAAACAAUUGCAACUACCUCUACAACAAGAACAGCAGCUGCAAAUGUGAUGACAAUUGUCACACCAACUGGUUUUCUUUUUUUACUCAACACUGGAGGACUAUCUUUUGGACGAUGAAGUUGCGGAUUUCCAUUUAUAUCGACCGAAACAUGUGGUUUGAAUUGAGGAAGAUCUCCAAAAAGCUGAUUAUUGGAAAGUACUAGCUGUGACAAGGAAGACAACCUGACCAGGAAAUCAGGAACUGUACCUGAGAACCUGUUGUUAGAGAGAUCCAAAACUUCCAAAUCAUUCAGUCCGGAAAGAGUCGUUGGAAUAGGUCCAUCAAAAUUAUUGAAGCUGAGAUUCAAAGAAAUCUGCAACUUUUGUGGCAUAUCAGGAAUCCUACCAUGCAAUUUAUUUUCUCCCAGCUGGAGUUCCAACAGAAAUUUCAAGUUCCCGAUGGCAUCAGGUAUUAAACCAGUGAGACCAUUGUUUUG
rnacentral:lncRNA from 1 species